UAAGACAGAGGUGCCAAGCGUUAGGCGGAAUCACUGGGCUUAAAGCGUGUGUAGGCGGAUCGUUAAGUACCUUGUGAAAUCCCACGGCUCACCCGUGGAACUGCUCGGUAUACUGGCGGUCUUGAGCCACUUAGGGGCUGUCGGAACAGACGGUGGAGCGGUGAAAUGCGUAGAUAUCGUCUGGAACGCCAAUGGUGAAAACAGACAGCUGGGAGUGUGCUGACGCUGAGACACGAAAGCCAGGGGAGCGAACGGGAUUAGAUACCCCGGUAGUCCUGGCCGUAAACGAUGUCGACUAGAUCGUGGACCUCUGACGGUUUCACGGUCGAAGCAAAAGUGCUAAGUCGACCGCCUGGGAAGUACGGUCGCAAGGCUA
rnacentral:rRNA from 1 species